AAGAGGCAUGCGGACUAGGGUGGUUUGUUAACAGUGAGGACAGUGUGUUAUAAUUGGUACGGGGACAUAAAAUGGUAGCUAGAAGUGUGUGUGUGUGUUCAGGAGGAAGGGAGAUGCUAGCAGAGCAGUGCUAUCCCGUUUGUGGACGGACAGGAGGUACAAGGGCCACAGGAUCACACAGGGAGAGUGAGAGCGUUUCAUUUAAUCCACUCAACGAUGGCUAGCUGUGCCGUAUAAACAGCUAUGCGUGGGUACACGGCUCCGCCAUCCUUUACUCUGCACAAACAACGGGACCAGUGAACUAGCCGAGCAACAAAACUGUUUCAGCUCCAGCGACAUACUAAGAGAAGGAAAGAGAGAGGAAGCGAGAGGAGAGAGAAUGCCAUUGGAGCACAGUGGGAGAUUUGGAGGACUAUUAGAGACACCGAGCAGUCAAGCACGGGACUCCUCUCACAUGUGCAGUCUCCCAGCCCUGUCAGCUGAGUACAGUACAGUCUGGCCUUUCCACGGACAAGACCCCUCCCAGCCUCCAGCCCCAAAACGUCCCCCAGUCCCUUAGCCGAGUCCUGGACCCCUCUCCUGGGCAGUCACUCUCCACAAUGAGCCCUUUGUAGAGUAGCACUAGCAUAAACACAAUGUAGGAUUGUCAACAAGCACCACCACAGCCGCCCCACUUACCUCCUAACGAGGAAGUGACCAAGAUUUGACCAAGACACAGAGACCAAAAACA